CUCAAACGGCCAAUCAGACGCUCGGUUGGAACCAGAGUGUAUCGUUACCCAGAAGCCCUCGGGGUUCGGGGAAGCCAGCCGCGCAUAUGCGCAGGCACAAAAGACAGACGAGGCACCAUGGGAAGGGAAAACAGAGGCAAUUGUAUCAGAGGCGGCAAGGCGCUCAAGCAUGUCACAUGGGGGAGCCAUGCAAGGAAAGCAUACGGAUGCACGGAGAGCAUACGGACGCGCUGGCACGGAGAACAUCUGUCGAGGCGAGUGGCGGCGGUUGUCUCGCACAGGUGACGGCAGAUUUUUUUUUUGUAUGCAGGAUCAACCAUGUUUGGCCAACAACAUCAAAGUCGCACGCAAGCCGCAUCGGCUGCACACAGACUGAAGUAAGGAUCUCAUGAUGUUCCUCACCGUUCCGUGAUGAGUGAACGCGCGCCGGACUUCCACUUAAUGCUCUCUCUGUUCUUUUAAUGGAUUCCGCUAUCACGCGCACUCACACGCUCAUUAACAUUCAAAGCCGGCUGUGAUUAAUUCGCAUCGAAACAAUUGAUUUUUGUCCCCCGCGUCUGUCUCGGGAAAUAACGGAUGGCUUCAUCAUCGGAGGGAAGGAAGAAAGGAUGGCUGCACCUGGACGUACCUUACACGAGAGGAGGAGAUGAUGGAGCAUGUGUGUCAUCAUCAAGUGAAGAAGAAGAAGUGGAAAUGUUGAGACGAAUAAAUAACAAGCAAUGA